AGUGAACGCUGGCGGCAGGCCUAACACAUGCAAGUCGAGCGGCAGCGGGUCCCCGCGAGGGGAUGCCGGCGAGCGGCGGACGGGUGAGGAACACAUCGGAAUCUGCCUGGUUGUGGGGGAUAACGUAGGGAAACUUACGCUAAUACCGCAUGCGACCCUGAGUCGACGGACUGGGGGUGAAAGUGAGGGACCUUCGGGCCGUCACGCGACCAGAUGAGCCGAUGUCGGAUUAGCUAGUUGGCGGGGUAACGGCCCGCCAAGGCGACGAUCCGUAGCUGGUCUGAGAGGAUGAUCAGCCACACUGGGACUGAGACACGGCCCAGACUCCUACGGGAGGCAGCAGUGGGGAAUCUUGGACAAUGGGCGCAAGCCUGAUCCAGCCAUG
rnacentral:rRNA from 1 species